ACACGAAAGAAUAGCUUUCUGUUGGCUUC
rnacentral:piRNA from 1 species